CGGAAGGCAGCAGCGGCAAAGAAGGUGU
rnacentral:SRP_RNA from 14 species